CGCCCCGUGUCGCGCGUCCCGUGGCUUGCCUGGGGCUGGAGCGAGGAGCCCAUUGGGCACGACCGCACCAACCCUAGCUCCAGAUCCACAGCCACGCACUCCUCCCUCCUCCCUCUCACAGCCGCCACACCCCCUUCCUCUCUUCCUCCUCCCUCGUCCUUCCCGGAUCCCUGCCAUCCAGGCAGCAAGCCUGGUAAGCUAUCUCAAAAAACAACAACCAGCAAGAUAAUUGGUUAAUAGGGGGGAUCCCUGCCACCGCCACACCCACUCGUCUCCUCUCUCUUCUAGCUAACUCCUCCUUCCUGAUAUCUGUGUUUUCCGCAACCCGAGAGAAGCAACGGCGGCGGAGAUGCUCCGAUGGCGGCGGCGAGUUGCGAAGCGGCUGCGCUCGGGCGCGAGACAACAGAAGCGGGAGCGGCUACUCCGGGCCACGAUCUGCGGGUUCGAUUCCAGGGCGCCGACGACUUUGCCGUCUACGAUGUCGGGGGUGAGUCACCAGGGUCCAUGACGGUGGCCGGGUCGGGCCGGGGUAGGAGAACCACAUGAGGCCAUGAAGGGCACGACGGCUGCUAGCGAAAGUAGCAGAUUUGAAGGAGCGGCAGAUGUGGGCGGGGUCGGCGAUUGGGGAAGGCUCGCCGGCUGGGCGACAGCGAGCUCCGAUGAGUGCAACGAAUGGAAGCCAGGCGUCGGCUUACAACAAUGAUUCGGGUGCCUGUGGCAUGACGGAGAGCCGCCGCUGAAAGCUCAGUGAUGGGGCGAGUUGGUUGAGGCGUCAAUGGCACCUUUGCUCGUGACCGAGGAUGGCACUUGCGCAGCUGAAGUAAGAUGCAGGCCAACUUCAGCCUCCAAGGCUUCCCUGGCACCCUCCUCUGCCACUACGUGCUCAACAACAAGGUCUUCGAAGGAUUAGGGCUUAGGGCAACUCGAUGGUAGCCAGUCGGAGUUUGCUAGGUUACAUAUGCAAGUCCUUUUGAAAUCUCAAACUUCUUUGUGGUGAUGAGCUUCUGCUCAUCUUGAUUGAUUCCUCUACAGUGAAGGGGUGUGUCUUCUGAUGCUUUCAUUUUCUCUUUCAUACUGUGGAGUUCAUCUUUGUCUUGGAGAACAUCACCAUGUGCCUGCUAUUGUUUAUGUGGUUGUAUGGAGUGUUCCUUCAACUAAUUAGGCAACGCCCUUAAAUCUAACAAUCAAACUCCGAGAGAAUCAUUUAUACUUGAACCAGAAAGGCCAAUUCUGUGUCUCAAUUUUGUUUAGGAAUAUUAGCAAGUUGAGUAACCUUGUUCUUUCUAGAAUAGGGACAUUCCUGGUUUUUGUGUCUGUGGUUUCUACUUUUAUUAUGCUGCUUAUUUUUGUGGUUUCAUUUGAACAAGAUGUCACUCUUGUUUCCGUCGUUAUACAUAUUUUCGAAGCCAUAGCAGCAUGUUGUGCUUUGUCAGCACAUUUGUGCAUGUGUGAGGUCGCAGAUGAAGAAGCACUGAAUGCUCAUUAUAUUCUCCUCUUCUCUGAUCUUCUAUACACAUAUAUAAGAUGUGUCUUAUUUCCUUGUGUUUCCUAAGGAUCUUUCUUGAUUGAUUGUUUGACAGUGACUAUUAUGUAAAAAUGUUUUCAGUUGCUGUUUAGUACGGAUGCCUCCAUGGUUGUAUAGGCAUCCAUGGUUCUGUGAGGAGGUUAUCUAUGUCGUUCUAUUUUAUAUACUCCCUCCGUUCCUAAAUAUUUGUCACGAAUUGCACAUGGUCAUGUUAGUUGUUUGUUUCUUUUGAUCAUAUUGAUGUUGAGUUGUGGGUUUACACAUUUUACCUUGAAAUGUUUAUAUGUGUGUCCAGUUGUUUUUGGAUGGUCUACGAUUUUGUUUGUGUUUAGUUUACAUUUCUCUCCUGAAGAUCUUGCUACCCAGUUGUAUUGCUAUAUUUCCUAUAAUAGGAAGUUAAUUAUAUUUUUACUGUUUUGGCAGCCCUAACAGAUAGACCGAGGUCUCUACUGGCUCGGAAGACUGGACUUGAGGCACAUGUAAAAUUAAUGUCUCUUGCUACUCUCGUGAUCUAUAUCCAGAGUGCAAGUCAGGUCUUGGAAUGCCCAGAAAAUAAGUGAAGUGUGCAGACAGGCAGCAUGGAAACACUAAAGAGAGGCUUCAGACAAACUAAUAGCUGGAGUGAUUUCCUACAUGUAGUGACCGACUUGGAAGAAAUAAGUUUCAGCUAUUUCUAAAGAUAUUAUAUCAUAAGACUAUUCUUAGGUUAAGGUGUUUGGCUUGGACUAAUGUGUACAUGGCUGUAGUGGUUCCAGAUUUGUUACAAGCUCCUUGUGCUGAGGAUCGUCAAAAUGGUGAAGUUUCUAUUAUUUUCGGAACUAUUGAUUCACAUGCUGAAGUGUAAUUUACCACAUCCCUAAGACAGAACAUAUACAUUUUGCCGUACAGUCACUAAUCCUAUGUUAUCAAGUUUUAUCUUAGUAGCGUAUAACCAAUGUUUACAACUGUCCAAGUAGUGUGUUUUGAAAAUAGAAGCAACGCGGCUCACACUAAGCAAUCACAUGUUUUAUCUCGAGGAAUUUUUUAAUUUUGAUAUAUUAUUUCUUACACAGCUACAAUUGGUACAAAAUACUGCUUAUUACUUUAAGCCUUUAUUGGCAUAAUUUUGUUGUGUUCUUUUCUUUAUUUAUUUUCCAUCAACAUCAAGUUGGAACCUGUUCUUUUUUUCCCAUAAUGAUUUUGAUGGUAAUUGGUCAAGUGUAUUUCUAGCUGGAAUUGCAUGUAUGUCUCAGAUUUACAUCACAACAAAUUAAUAAGGAGAAUAGAAGCAUUUGCAUCCAUCUAAUACUUUGCCUGUCAUGCUUAGCGAGAAUUCAAAAUAGUUACCUUUGGAUAUCAAUAAUGAGUUUAUAAUUUCGUGCUAAGACCCUAAAAGCUUUAUUGUCUCAUGCUUCGACCAUCAUAACUAUUUUCUUGGUAAAUUCUAGAUCCUACAGUUCAGAUUAUGAUCUUUGCAUGCCCUUUUUUUGUACCUUCUAAAAUAGGCUAACAUUAUAAAAAAGAGGCACAUGUUUUAGAAAUUGAAUUAUGUUGUCACCAUGACAGCUUUUCAGGUUACGGUUCUUUAGCCAUUUAAUGCAGUAUCGAUGGUUAAGACUUAAGUGUGCAUCAUGAAAUGAAACAUAAUGCAUAGUUCAUCAGUUUUGAGCCUUACCAGCAUACUUUUAUUACUCAUUUUGCCCUGCACCAUAUUUUCCUACAUGUAUUGCUUCACCAAUUACCAUAGAGGUCUUACCUCACCUUGACCAUGGAGCCGCUAGGAGUACGAUAAAUAUAUGAUCAUUCUUAAGAGUUGAAAUUCUAAUUUCCAUACUAAACCAAUUGCUUCCUUCAUCAAAGUGAUUCAUAGUAAACCAGUAAACAUGAAUUUUAUGUGUAUAUAUUACUUCUUCAUUUGUCAUUUAUUUUGCUCAACAUAUUUUUAUGGUGCUUUUCGAAAAGCUUAAGGUUAGAGAUGUGGUGCUGUAUGAGGCUAUUGUUAGUAUGGAAUAUAAAUUAAUGUUAACAUAUUUUUGAAUUUCCUUUAUUCCGUAAACUACAAUACAAGAUAUGUUUGGGCCACAUGAUUCUAUUCCAAAAAAUUAAACAACCUGGCAAUUGAUGACACAUCAAAUGUUCUGUACUGAAAUGGAUCACUUUUGUCUGGUUGGGUUUAGUAGACCAUAAUGGUUUUAUUCACAAACUUAAUUUGUUUAUAAUGUAACCAGUUCAAGGAUUGAUGAGCUUUCGAGCCCUAUGACAUUUGUACACUCUAGUUACAUUAUAGAAGGCUCAUGUGUCUUGCUUUGUUUUCGCUUUCCAAGUUACAGUCUCUUGAUAUACUUCCUUUCUAAAUUAAUAUAAGACCGUAUAGAUCACUAAACUAUAAGACCGUAUAGAUCACUAAACUAGAAGACCAUUUAGAUAACUAAGUUUAGUGAUUUAUAUGGUCUUAUAUUAGUUUACAGAGGGAGUACUUGAAAGGAGAUUAUUUAUAUGUUGUUUUAUUCCAUCAGCCGUACAACCUAAAUUAGCAAUUAGGUAUCUACAUAGUGUAGUGGAACCAUUGUGCUUGCUGCAGUUUUAUUUUAUCGUUGAAAUGUUUUUCUUAGUUUUUUCUGUACUGAGAAAUAUUUUUUGUUUUUCAGUCAUUAUUUCUAAAUCAUAUUAGCAUAUUACCUGAUAUGGCCUUUUGAAGUUUCUAUUUUAUAACGAACUUUGCAUUGUCAACUUGAGUAUGGUAUGGUUUAUUCUUUGUUGUGGCAGCUAUUCCAGAGAAUUUUGGAGCUCCACAACCUUCUGAAGACUUGAUUUACAGUAGCAGAAAUGAACAAUCAAUCAGCUAAGAUGCAUGACAUGAUCUCUUUCUCUUGACCUUGAUGGGUAUUGAACUCAUUUUUUUUGAUAAAAGAGAGCUUUUCUCUCCGAUUUCCAUUAAUAGAAAUCACCAAGUCUUGUAUUGAACUCAUAGAUCACCUUAUCAAUGGAACUCUUAUCAGUGUUGAGAAGGUGGAACAAAAAUUCAAACGCAGGGCGAUCAGCUAAGGAAAGAAGUUAAGAAGUACUCCCUCCGUUCCAAAAUAGAUGACUCAACUUUGUACUAAAGUUAGUAUAAAGUUGGGACAUCUAUCUUGGAAUGGAGGGAGUAUUAGGAAGGACUUUUAGGGUGGCAUCACGGUCAAAUGCAUUAUAGGAUAGGUCCUUUUAAGAAUUAUGGUGUGUUUCGCUCCUUUUUUGUUUACCUUGGCCGCAGAGGUUUGCCUCA